AACGAACGCUGGCGGCAUGCCUAACACAUGCAAGUCGAACGAGAUCUUCGGGUCUAGUGGCGCACGGGUGCGUAACGCGUGGGAAUCUGCCCUUUGGUUCGGAAUAACAGCUGGAAACGACUGCUAAUACCGGAUGAUGACGAAAGUCCAAAGAUUUAUCGCCAGAGGAUGAGCCCGCGUAGGAUUAGCUAGUUGGUGUGGUAAAGGCGCACCAAGGCGACGAUCCUUACCUGGUCUGAGAGGAUGAUCAGCCACACUGGGACUGGGACACCGCGCAGACUCCUACGGGAGGCAGCAGUGGUGAAUAUUGGAAAAUGCGCGAAAGCCUGGUCCCGCCAUGCCGCGUGAGUGAUGAAGGCCUUAGGGUUGUAAAGCUCUUUUACCCGGGAUGAUAAUGACAGUACCGGGAGAAUAAGCUCCGGCUAACUCCGUGCCAGCCGCCGCAGUAA
rnacentral:rRNA from 1 species